CCAUGUGUUGUUUGGAAUUUUUCAAUAAAGAGAUUCUCCUUGUUAAUUCUCUCCUGUGUGGUGAUCCCGUCUUUACAUUGGUAGAAGGGGAAUAUAUAGAAUUUGGGGUUUAAGUCUUUAGCGCAUGAGUCUAUGUGGUCACUCAGUGGAAUUUGUCGGUAUUCCGGGAGAUUUAUUUUGUUCUUUAUACACCGCUACUCGUUUACGUAAUGGUGCAUACCCUUUUAGCCAAAUUGAAGGGUAUGCACCAUUGUCUCGGAUCCCAAAUCACGAGAAAUACGCCUUCAAGACCUCAAAAAAACACUAUUACAACGCCAAUAUCCCUCCACCCUUAUAGAGUAUGGAAUAAAACGCGCCAAAGAACUAGAUAACAUUACACUGAAAACUACCCAACCUAACACCACACACAACCUCAAAAUACUUCCAUACAUUUCCACCCACAACCCCAAAAAUAUCGAAGCAUACACCACAAUCAUACAAAACCUCAGUCUACUGUCAACAGACCCAAAAAUGAAAAACAUUAUAAAUACACACAAAAUCCUCAAAUGUAAAAGGCAACACAAAUCUUUAAAAAAAACUCUUGACAAAUGCCAAACUUCACACACCACAUCCACCCCCAGCAGUAAAAAAAUGUGUACGCCCAAACUGUGGUACCUGCCCCCUCCUACUUGAAGGCUCUGAAUUUACCUUCAAACAAGGUACGAAGUUUAAAAUCAAGACUAACUUCUCCUGUUCCUCCGAGAACCUUAUCUACGUUCUCACAUGCGCUGGUUGCCAACAUAAUUAUGUUGGACAAACGAGUCUCCCGUUACGUAAACGAGUAGCGGUGCAUAAAGAACAAAUAAAACUCCCGGAAUACCGACAAAUUCCACUGAGUGACCACAUAGACUCAUGCGCUAAAGACUUAAAUCCUAAAUUCUAUAUAUUCCCCUUCUACCAAUGUAAAGACGGGAUCACCACACAGGAGAGAAUUAACAAGGAGAAUCUCUUUAUUGAAAAAUUCCAAACACAACUUAAUAUACAAACUCCUCGUUGAUCAAACUUCCUUUUCUACCUCAUUCUUCAAGGAUGGACUCACACAAAUAUAUUAGGAUACCAUAGAUUCAUCACUUCAAGCUAAAACUUAUAUUCUUUAAAUAUCAUUUUUACUAUUGUUGUUAUUACCAUCAUUUUUAUUAUAUAUGAUAUAACAAUCUGAAAUGUAAUUAUAAAUUGGUCUAUGCAAAUUUAUAUAAUUAGAAAAUAAUAUAAAUAAAGUGUUAAAAUCUGAAAGUUAAGUUAACAAACAAUUAUAUAAAAAAAGAUAAUACAAAUGAAGCUAAAAUGAUAAUUUUAUAAUUUGGGGUUUAUUAGCAGCCUUGAUUACAGGGGAUUUUGUGAAACAAAAAUUGAAGAACUCAAAAGAGUUGUCUCCCCUUAUUCACAACACAGGAACAGAAGAACCACAAUUAUUACUACUUCCUGUUUUUGCCAACAUCCUUAAUUAAACCAAACAACACAUGGUCUUAAUCCCAUCGGAUCCUAAUACCUCAAGGUAACUUUUUCGUGAACAAUCAUUAAACUCAAGAUACACAACGAACUCACAAUGUAUCGGAGUACUUAUUUUUAAAUUUUUGUACAUAUUUAUUAUUAUUCUUUUGCAAAAACAAUGCAACUUUUUUCCCCUUUCUCAUUUUUAAAAAAACUUUUGUUACAUAACUAUUCUUGAUAAGUCACACUAUGACGAAAACCGGUUUGAAUAAAUAUAUAUUUAUAUAUUUUUUCAAUUUCUCAUUUCAUUAAAAUUUUCUUUCAAUCUAGCAUUCUGCAUUUUUACAAUUUUUCCUUGCUAUAUAUAUAUAUAUAUAUAAAUCCUAAAAAUGUUUCAGCUCGAAAGCUGCGGCCAUGCUGGAGCACCACCGCUGUAUGAGCUACACUAGUAUGUGAAACUACCUCUGAUACGUGGCACUUGGUCAACAAGGGGGUUCAACGCCGCUGCCCGCAUCUAUGUUUCCUGCCGAGAGUUAGGUUUAUUUGGAACACCCUGGCAAGAAGAGAUCCAGUUUAGUUUGAGAGAAACCCAUAUCCACACGAUGCAGGUCUCUCAGGCAUUUAGGAAGGAUAUUGAAGAGCUGUGAUCCCCUGAAACCCAAGCUGUUGCAGUAUCUGGUCCUGUAUUUUGAUGGUGAAGUUGGGAUCUUUGGCACCAUGCAGUGGCGCCCGUUCUGUUGUUGGGGUAACUUUCAAUGCCAAAUUUCGGGACAAGACCCUACAGGAUUUUCCAGAUGUAUAUUACUGCAUACAUAUAUAUGAAUAUAAAUAAAUAAAUAGAUAAAUAUAUAUAUAUAUAUAUAUAUAUAUAUAUAUAUAUAUAUAUAUAUAUAUAUAUAUAUAUAGAUAUAUAUAUACAUGCACAUAUGUAUAUAUGUAUGUAUAUACAUAUAUAUAUAUAUGUAUAAAUAUCUAUAUAUAUAUAAGUGUAUAUAUGUGUGUAUAUAUGUAUAUAUAUAUAUGUAUAUAUAUAUAUAUAUAUGUAUAUAUAUGUGUGUGUAUAUAUAUAUGUAUAUAUAUAUAUGUUGAUAAAACAGGGGAAAACUGAUGGAGGGGCUCUUCUUUAUUUUGCCUGUCUCGUUUCUCUAUUUGUUUCUUUCAAUGUUCGACAAAAGUUUUCCAUGUUUUUGUUUUUAUGUUGGCGUUUCUCGUUUGUUGCACAUUCCUUGUCGUCCUGUACGCAUAUAUGCAUGUAUAUAUACACAUAUAUAUAUAUAUAUAUAUAUAUAUAUAUGUAUAUGUAUGUAAGUUAGGUACAAUAAAUUCAGGGCGAAUACUUAAUAAAUGUAAGCACCUGUAUAUGCCAGCUAGUAGCAUAGGUGAUAGGAUAUAUGUAUCAAAUGAAAUACAUCGGGCUUUAUAGAACAACUUAUUCUUACAUCAAUGCAUAAUCGAUAUAACAGAUAGAUCAAAAGCCUUCUUCAGCCGCGUGCAAUUGCUACACCAAAGUCUUGUAUCACAUUAUAAAAGGUUUGAGAAAAAAACAUUUGGUAUUGUUUAUAAUGGUAGGUAAACCGAGUAUCAUUGGGAAAGUAUGUUUGUAAAUCUUCAUAGGCCUCCAUGGUAUUAUUAGACUCCAAAACAAAUCGUCCAUACCGUUUUUUCACCUUUUCUCUGGACCGGAAGGUUCUUAAGAUCCAGGAGCUAAUCCUACGAGCUAUAUCGAGCUUACUGUUGAUGUAGGCUCUCUAACUGAAAUUGUUAUCAACAAUUACAACUAGAUCUUUGAUAUUAUUAGAUGCUAUGAGCGGUUCCCCUGAAGGAAGGGAGUAUGGCUGUUAUAUUAUAGACUUUCUUCCAAAAUGCAUCAGCUCAAAUUUUCCCUAGUUUAGUUGCAUUUUGCUUUUGCCUGCCCAUUGAUUCAGAGCAUUUAGAUCAGACCGGGGUUGUGUUCGGUCUUGAUAUAGUUACGAUCUCUGAAACUCGUCUCUCUGGUGAAGGUCAAGUAAAUUAACCUACUUAUGAAUAUAUUAUCUUUUGGAGAGGCCUACCUAAAGGACAGCGUAAGAGAAUAUGGUGUGGAGUUUGCUCUCAAGAAUACAUUAGUAUCCUCCAUUGCUGAGUUUCCAAGUUGUAAAUCUGAACGGAUCAUGUCAUGCCGUUUUAAACUGAUAAAAGGUGGAUUUCUUACCGUUAUCAGUAUUUAUACACCAACAAUGUCCCAGUCUGAUGAAACUGUAGGACAGUUUUAUGAUGAUCUAGCACAAUUAUUGAGAAAAGUACCAAUUUCUGACUAGCUGGUAAUAAAGGGAGAUUUCAGCGCAAGCGUUGGAAAGGACUAUGUUUCAUGGCUUGUUUUAGGUCGAUAUGGGAUUAGAAAAUGCAAUAAAAAUGGAGUAGCUCUUCAAACGUUUCGUACUGAGAAUAAUCUGUUUGUCACCAACACUCUGUUUAAGGAGAAAAAUAUAUAUAAAACCACUUGGAUGCACCCAAGAUCUAAGCACUGGCAUCUCACAGAUUAUAUUCUUAUCAGAAAACGUGAUAUGAAAGACGUUUCCAGCGUUCACGCAAUGAGAGGGGCAGAGAGCUGGUAUGACCAUCAUCUAGUGCGUGAAAAAUAGAUUUUACGAUAAUGCCUAAAAAUCGACAGUCUGGUCCUAAAGUAUCCAAAAAGUUAAAUGUUGCUAACUUUAAAUUAUCAAGCAACUUGCAAAAAUUCCACGAUGCUAUAGAAAGUAUCAAACUUGACCCAAACAAUUGAUGGGUAGAUUUCAAAACAAAAGUAUUUCAGACUGCAAGUUCAUCAGUGGGAUUAGAAUCACAUAAGUCCAGUGACUGGUUCUCAGAUAGAUCAGCAGAAAUUUAUGAUCUACUUUUAGAAUAAACAAAACUUAGGCAAUACACUUCUUUCUCAGUCCUUGAAUCUCAACUCAAACGAAACUUACAGAAAGCUGAAAAGGAAAUUGCAGACUGCUCUAAGGAAAAUUAAACAGGAAUGGUGGAAUGAUAGAGCAAAAGGGAAACAGAAGCAGCUCACAGAAAUGAUGUCAACGGUUUGUACUUUUAUAUUAAGGAGGUAUAUGGCCCAAAAUCGACUUCAAUAGCUCCAGUGAGAACAUCAAAUGGACGUUUUCUUCUGACAUCUCUUCUAAGCGUUUGGUAGAAUAUUAUUCCGCACUUUUGAAUAGACCAUCAACCGUUGACAUGAGGACGGUAGAAAAAAUUGAACACCUUCCAGUUAUAGAAGAGAUGACUUUUGAACCAACUCUAAAUAAGCUUUAUUUAACUGUGAAUAAAUCGAAUAACAAUAUGUCUCCAGGGCGUGAUGAAUCUGUGCAGAAGUCUUGAAAUAUGGGGGUGACAAAAUAAUUUGAACUCUUGAAUAUAUUCAUUUGUCACUUUUGGAGAACUGAGAUAGUUCCUCAAGAUUGGAUUGAUGCCAUUUUAGUCUCCUUGUAUAAAUUGGGGUCAAAGAAUCUGUGUGGUAGUUUUCGUGGGAUUUCGCCUUUGUCUGUGAUUGGAAAAGUACUUGCCUGCAUUUUGUUAGAACGUUUAAAUACGUUUACAGUUCCAAAUAUAUUGUCUGGGUCUAAGUGUGGUUUUCGUUCCUCCAGGGACAAAGCUGAUUGUAUAUUUACUGUUAGACAAUUACAAGAAAAGUGCUCUAUAUCAUUGCUUUGUUGAUUUGAGCAAAGCACUCGAUACUGUUAAUCGAAAUGCACUGUGGCUAAUUGUAAGAAAAAUAGGUUGCCCACAAAAAUUUGUAAACAUGAUCAGAGCUUUGCAUCAAGAUAUGAAAGCUAGAGUUAAAUUUGUGAUAGACUCUCUGAAUCUUUUGCAGUGGAAACUGGAUUAAAUCAAGUAGACCUUGCUGCACUCACCCUCUUUGUGUUGUCACAUGCUUUUCAAAACUCUGAGGAGGGUAUUUACAUAAAAUAUCGAACAACAGGGAAUGUUUUUAAUCUGACCAGCCUGAAAUUGAAAACCAAGGUUUUUACUUCACUUAUUAUGGAACAUUUGUACGCUGACGAUGGCUCGGGUUAUGGUGAUUUUGGCUUGACCAUCAACAGUCGUAAUGCAUCAACCGGCGCGUGGUCCUGUUUGUAACCACGGACACUAAAAUUUCAUUAAGGGAAAGUUAUUUGAGGUUGUUGAUUCGUUCAUCUACCUUGGAAGAUCUGUUCAAAAUUAUGGAAAUCUUGAUACAGAAAUACAGCUGCGUAUUCAAAGGUCAGCAAAAGCAUUUGGUGACUUGGAGUCACGCGUUUGGUGCCAGUGACGUAUAAAUAAGAAUACAAAGCUGACUCUUUACAAAUCAUUUGUCUUACCGUCCCUGUUGUAUUCCUUCACAUGAAUUAAACAGGGAGCUGCACAAAGCCGGAUUUCGCGGGAGGACUGCAAUCAGAAAAGCACCACUUUCAAAAUCAAACGUUGCAAAGCGUUUAGAGUGGAGUAAAACCUACAGAAUUGGUCCCUCGAGCAGUGGAGGAAUGAUAUUUUCUCGGACGAAUCUUCCUAUGAGCCUGAAAUUAUCUAAACAGUCCUUGUCCGGGUCCUUUCUGACCAGUGUCACCAUUCCCCGCCGUACAGAUCUGGGAAUAAACCCAGUCUGUUACCAGUUCACGUACACAUUGGCCAGUAGGUACCCGAACAAGUCUGGCAUACACUUAUACAGCUCGUUGAGAAGACCAUCCAGUCCCAGCAACUUACUCACGCCGACAGUCCGCCAUAGCCUCAAUCACCUCCCCAUGCAUGAUCGGCCCUUCACAAGACUCCGCAUGCGGCCCUGAGAUGCGCGGUAAACCGGCAAGGAAGUCCUCAAGGUAUUCUCUACCAUCCGGCCAGGCGCCACCCCCGAACAGCCAGGCGAAUUACUCCUGAAAGGCCUCACACAUCUCCUCGAGUUCCUUUACGAAUACACCUUGAUGAUUCACCAUAGACCGAAUAGUGGAGUUAUUUCAACGUUGAGCUUCCGCCGCUCGGGCCCAUCCAGUGGCCUUGAUUCCUUCACAGCCAAUUGUACGCCUUGCCAGUCCUGAGGACUUCCUCUAAAUUCUUAACUAGACCAUUUCUUUUCUUACGUUCCCUUUUAACUAGACCUAUGCUUUAUCUAAUAGACUCAUAUUUUAUGGCUCGUUUUAGGACGUACCACCAUCUGAAGUAACUAAUUCCCGUAGCCGUCCAGGAGGGUGAGCAGAUCUCUUGGCUCUCUCAACCAGGUUUCUGUAGCAACAAUUACAUCUAAAUCCCGUAAACUGAUGUCGUUUAGGAAGUGUCCCUGCUUCCAGUUCGACAUCAGGCCACAUACAUUCAAAAGACCAUUGUGAAUAGCCAUAAAUAUGAUUUUCCUUUUCAAUUUGAAUUUUUCUCGCGAGAUCGGGGCGGUAAUCCAUGAAAUAUAGAACUUAUUAAAGUCCAUUCUCAUUGGAAAUACUGUCUUACGAUAUUUGUUCUGUAAAAUUCUAUGAGUCUUAUUUGAGACUUCAUACAUACUAUAGUUGGUAAAUUUAUCCGAAAUUUCGUCAAUUUUUUGUGCAGUCUUUAUCAAUGACUGUCUCUGUUUAGUUCGGAAUCUUUAGUAUAAACGGCUAUUAUGCCUUUUUUCCUCUUUCUCUUCUAGCAGUCUUUUUUGGUCGUUGGUCUGUAGUAGUCGCCGCUCUCGGUUGAAUUGCUGAUUAUAUUUUUCUUUUGUUUUCUUCUUCUUCUUCUUCUUCUUCUUCUUCUUCUUCUUCUUCUUCUUCUUCUUCUUCUUCUUCUUCUUCUUCUUCUUCUUCUUCUUCUUCUUCUUCUUUCUCCGCUUCCUCUCCUUCCUUGAAUUCCUUCGAAUGUAUCCUAUUGAGAAUUUAGAAUUUCUCCAUUAAUGGUAUAUUACAUCUAGUUUAUUUCUUAUUUUCACAGCUAAAAUACAUAUUGUUAUUUUAACAGCUAACAUACAUAUUUCUAUUUAUUUAUUCUAUAGUUAUUAUUUACGUCAUGUUUUCACGUGAUAAAUUUCUUAGCAACGCUAGGUUCUGAGUUUAACGUUUAAAAUUUCAGCUAACUGGUAUUCUUCAAUAAUAUAAGUUAUGAUUAUAUUUUUCAUCAAUAUUGUCACAUGUUAUUCUAUUAUUUAUUGUUAUGAUACGCAUAUUUCUAUAAUUAUUAUAUCUUAAAAUACAUUUAUUUUAUUAUUUUAGACCUGAAGAGUGGCUAUAUUUUUAAAUGUAAUUAAUUUUAAAUCGAAUGAAUUUUAAUCGUAUCACUUUUAUUGUCAUCGAGAUCUAGUCAUGAAACGCGCGUAGUCAAUUUAAUGUUUAUUUAAUUUAGUGAUUUUUAGAAUUAUAUUUAUCAUAACAUAUUUAAAUUUUUCUACACGAUUCAAUAUAGAUAAUAUCUUUCACUAUCAAUUGAAUUAUUUCAUAGAGAUUAUUUCUCUUAAUUAUAUACUACUACCUCAAGGACAUUAGCUGAAACUGGAAAAUCAUCAAAAUCAUCAAUCAUAUAUAUAUAUAUAACUAUAUAGCUAUAUAUACAUAUAUACAUGAAGGUGUAUAUCUGAAUAUAUAUGUGUGUAUAUAUAUAUAUAUAUAUAUAUAUAUAUAUAUCACCGUGAUCACCGUGACCGACCAGACCAUCAGAUAUUGUUACACAUCGCUGGUCACAAUGCGUUCGCAUUGUUUUAGCCUUCGAAUGACGCCACCCCGUUGGCUAAGCGAGCAGGCCAACAGAAGAAAGAGUGGUGAAAGAGUACAGCAGGGAUCACCAACCCCUGCCGGAGCGUCGUGAAGCUUUUAGGUGUUUUCGCUCAAUAAACAUUCACAACGCCCGGUCUGGGAAUCGAAACUGCGAUCCUGCGAUCGCGAGUCCGCUUCCCUAACCACUGGGCCAUUGCGCCUCCACAUAUGUAUAUAUAUAUAUAUAUAUAUAUAUAUAUAUAUAUUGAUUGAUUGAUUCUAGUUUCAGCUUAUGAGCUGUGGCCAUGCUGGGGCACCGCCAUUUGGUGUUGCUACUUGGUUUCACUUCAUGGAGGCUUUCUAGCAACUGCUAUUUGGUGCAUGAGAGAGUUCGAUGCAGCUGCCCUCAUCUGCCCCUCCUGCCGUGAAGUUGGUUCAUCUGGGACACCUGACAGGAAGAGAUCCAGCUUCAUUUUAAAGACAUCUGUAUCCACCCCAUGCAGGUCUCUCAGGUUCUUCGGGAGGAUAUUGAAGAGCUGUGGGCCUCGGAAGCCCAGGCUAUCACAGAAUCUUGAUGGCAGGUUUGGAGUCCUAGGCACCACGCAGUGGCGCCCAGUUCUGGCAUUUGCGUAACUCUCGAUGCCAAAGUUCAGGACACUUCCCUCUAGGAUCUUCCAGAUGUAUAUUAUGGCAUAUCUUUCCCGCCUACGCUCCAGGGAAUAUAAUUUUAAUCUCUUGAGUCUUUCCCAGUAGCUUACAUUCUGCAUAGAGGCUAUCUUCUUUGUGUAGCUUCGUUGGAUUGCCUCAAGUUCUGUGAUCAACUUGACACUGGAUGGUGACCAUAGCUGAGAGCAAUAGUCAAAGUGGCUUAGGACAAGUGUCUUCCAGAGGACCAUCAUGGUUUCUUGUUCUCUUGUUCUAAAGGUUCUAAGAAUCCAUCCAGCCAGCCGUCUACAUUUCAUUGUCAGUUUAGCAACAUGUACAUGAAAGGUCGCGUCAUCACUCAUGUGAAUACCCAGGUCACGCACUGAUUGUGCCUCUGGGAUUGCAAUCCCUCCGGGUCCAGUGUAUUCAUUGGGUAUUGCAUUCAGUUUUGCAUGCUGAUAGUAUAAAGCUUGAAACUUUCCAGCAUUGAACUGCAUGCUAUUCUUUUCAGCCCACUUGUAUAUUUCGUCCAGCUCACAUUGCAGGUGUUUAGUGUCCUCAGGGUUCUGUAUUGCCUGUGAAACUUUUGUAUCAUCUGCAUAACUUGUGAUCGUGGCUCUCUGCGUGGCUGAGGGCAUGUCUGAGAGGGCCAUUAUGAACAGUAGUAGUCCCAGAACAGUGCCCUGCGGAACACCGCUCACUAUUUGUGUGUUAAUGGAGGUGGCCCCAUUGGCUACUACCACCUGACUUCUAUCCUUCAGAAAGUCAUGAAGCCAUUCUCCCAGUUUUCCAACUAUGUUGAGAUCACGCAGUUUGUGACAUAUCAUUCCAUGAUCGACUUUAUCAAAGGCCUUUGCAAAGUCGAGAUAUAUCACUUCCACAUUUGAGUGGUUGAGCAGCCGUUUCAGCACCCAGUCAUAGUGUUGUAGGAGCUGAGUUAAACAGCUUCUCCCUGGUCGGAAACCAUGUUGGGUGUCGGCCAGCAAGUCAUUCUCUUCAAGGAAGGUGAUCAGCUUCCUUCUGACUAUUCGUUCCAUGACCAUGCUGAUGUGUGAGGUCAGAUAUAUAUAUAUAUAUAUAUAUAUAUAUAUAUAUAUAUAUAUAUAUAUAUAUAUAUAUAUAUAUAUAUAUAUAUAUAUAUAUUUAUAUUGAUUAAAGUAAAAACAUGAUGCCAAGGAUUCAGCGGUACAUAUGUUUCGGGCCUUUAUUAGACGGAUUUAUAACAAUGCAUAAUGUGUCUCUAUGGCCUUCUUCAGCCGCGCACAACUACUACCUCAAGGACAUGUAUUACAUCAAAAAUUCUACGUUUGGGAUGCAAAUCCUCUCAUUCGCGUACGACAUAAUGCGGCAACAGCAUAAAAAUGAAGCGUCCAUCUCGUCCUUCUCUCAAUGUAGAAUGAGGAAGUUUGGAUGUUGAGGUAAUUAAAAUAAAUGAAUAAAUAAAUAUAUACAUAUAUAAAUACAGACAGACGUGAAGGAACCUGGUAAUAAGAGCAAAUAGGGAUAAAGAUGGAGGGGGGAGAAUUCAGGACGAAGGAUAAAAAAAUAUAUAAAAAGUGUAAGUAUAGAAAAAUAUAAAAAUGUAGAGUAUAAAGAUAUAAAGAGAUAUAAAAAAAAUAUAAACAGAUAUAAAUGAAUAUAAAGGUAUAAAGUUAUAAAAAAAUUUUAAAAUUUUAAAAUUUAAAAAAUUUAAAAAAUAAAAAAUUAUCAGAAGUAUAAAGGGUAUAAGAGUGUAGGAAUGUAAAAGAAUAUAAGGAUAAGGGAUAUAUAGUAGUUACGGACCAAACAUGGUGGUCAGGAAAAUGACGAAUUCUGGUUGUAGAAGCCUUGGGUGUCAUAAAUCAACCGGGGCGUCUGGGGACCUAGUGUAUGGUAAAUUAGAGUUGUUGAGCCGCUUAUCUAGUUCUUCGUAACGUAUUAAGUGGUCAUCAUGUACAUACGUACACGCAUGGAUACAUACACCCAUAUACACGCGCAUAUAUACGCACGCAUACGCAACUACACGCAUACAAGCAUACAUAGUACUCUCGUGUAAACAUAUACAGAUAUAUAUGGAAAAAGGCGCAUGUAGUUGGGUACACGAACCGACGCGCACACGUACGUACAUACAUACACUCACAUGCGUUCAUAUAGGCACACUCGCACUUACACGCAUGUACAAAACGAAGUGAAUCUCUAUGCGUGUGGGCAGGAAUAUGUAUACACCUGCACUCGCGUCCACCCCCACGCACAUGGGGGAGUAGAUCCCUAUGCCUAUACACAAAGGCAUGCAUAUGCACAGACACAGGUAUAACAAAAGGAUCCGUUCUUGCACACGGGUAAGAUACGGAGUCAUAGUGGGUACAUUAGGUAGACAUGAACGUAAGAAACUUGCGGGCAAAAGAUUUUAACAGAAUAUGCAUAUAUAUACACGGACAAUAUACAUAUAUAUAUAUAUAUACACACACACACAUACGCAUAUAUAUAUACACACAUAUAUGUAUAUAUAUAUAUGUAUAUAUAUGUAUAUAUAUACACAUAUACACACAUACCCCGCCCGCCCCUACGUGGUCACCUUUAACACUUUAUUUUAUUUUAUCUUUAUUCUUAUUUUUAUUUUUAUUCUUUACUUUAAUUUUUAUAUUUUAUUUCUUAUUUUUAUUUCUAAUUUUUAUUCUUACCCUUAUUCUUACUCCUAUGUUUACCCCUAUUUUAUCAAUUUAUAUCUCUAUAUAUGUCUAUUUUUAGCUUUUUUCCUUAUUUACUUAUCUAUGUAUCCGCUUUAUGAUUAUACGUGUGUCUGUGUAUGUAUGUAUAUGUAUAUAUGUGUAUGUGUAUGUAUGAGUAAAUAUCUGUAUUUAUAUGUGUACCCCCCCCCCCCGUUAUACUUUUUUAAUAAUUUUUUUUUUACAUGCUUUUGUAGAUUUCUUAUAUACAUUUUUUAUACAUCUUUUAAUAUCUUAUAUCUAUACCUAUAUGUGUGUGUGUCUGUGUAUGUGUAUGUAAGUGUAUGUGUACACGCACGUAUAGACACACAGAUGUAUGUGUGUGUGCGUGUAGAUACGUGUGCGUGGGUCCGUUUUUUUACAUGCUUUUGUAGAUUUCUUAUAUACAUUUUUUAUACAUCUUUUAAUAUCUUAUAUCUAUACCUAUAUGUGUGUGUGUCUGUGUAUGUGUAUGUAAGUGUAUAUGCACACGCACGUAUAGACACACAGAUGUGUGUGUGUGUGCGUGUGGAUACGUGUGCGUGGGUCCGUGUGUAUGUAUAUAUGCGUGUAUGUAUGUACACGUGGAUGUGUAUGUAUGCACACAUAUAUAUAUUUGCGUGUGCGGGUAUGGGUGUGGGUAUGUGUGUGUAUGUAUAUGUGUAUAUAUGUGUAUAUGUAUAUAUAUACAUAUAUAUAUAUACAUAUAUGUGUGUAUAUAUAUAUGCGUAUGUGUGUGUGUGUAUAUAUAUAUAUAUGUAUAUGUAUAUUGUCCGUGUAUAUAUAUGCAUAUUCUGUUAAAAUCUUUUGCCCGCAAGUUUCUUACGUUCAUGUCUACCUAAUGUACCCACUAUGACUCCGUAUCUUACCCGUGUGCAAGAACGGAUCCUUUUGUUAUACCUGUGUCUGUGCAUAUGCAUGCCUUUGUGUAUAGGCAUAGGGAUCUACUCCCCCAUGUGCGUGGGGGUGGACGCGAGUGCAGGUGUAUACAUAUUCCUGCCCACACGCAUAGAGAUUCACUUCGUUUUGUACAUGCGUGUAAGUGCGAGUGUGCCUAUAUGAACGCAUGUGAGUGUAUGUAUGUACGUACGUGUGCGCGUCGGUUCGUGUACCCAACUACAUGCGCCUUUUUCCAUAUAUAUCUGUAUAUGUUUACACGAGAGUACUAUGUAUGCUUGUAUGCGUGUAGUUGCGUAUGCGUGCGUAUAUGUGCGCGUGUAUAUGGGUGUAUGUAUCCAUGCGUGUACGUAUGUACAUGAUGACCACUUAAUACGUUACGAAGAACUAGAUAAGCGGCUCAACAACUCUAAUUUACAAUACACUAGGUCCCCAGACGCCCCGGUUGAUUUAUGACACCCAAGGCUUCUACAACCAGAAUUCGUCAUUUUCCUGACCACCAUGUUUGGACCGUAACUACUAUAUAUCCCUUAUCCUUAUAUUCUUUUACAUUCCUACACUCUUAUACCCUUUAUACUUCUGAUAAUAUUUUUAUUUUUUAAAUUUUUAAUUUUUUUAUAACUUUAUACCUUUAUAUUCAUUUAUAUUUGUUUAUAUUUUUUUAUAUCUCUUUAUAUCUUUAUACUCUACAUUUUUAUAUUUUUCUAUACUUACACUUUUUAUAUAUUUUUUUAUCCUUCGUUCUGAAUUCUCGCCCUCCAUCUUUAUCCCUAUUUGCUCUUAUUACCAGGUUCCUUCACGUCUGUCUGUAUUUAUAUAUGUAUAUAUUUAUUUAUUCAUUUAUUUAUAUUACCUCAACAUCCAAACUUCCUCAUUCUACAUUGAGAGAAGGACGAGAUGGACGCUUCAUUUUUAUGCUGUUGCCGCAUUAUGUCGUACGCGAAUGAGAGGAUUUGCAUCCCCAACGUAGAAUUUUUGAUGUAAUACAUGUCCUUGAGGUAGUAGUUGUGCGCGGUUGAAGAAGGCCAUAGACACAUUAUGCAUUGUUAUAAACCCGUCUAAUGAAGGCCCGAAACAUAUGUACCGCUGAAUCCUUGGCAUCAUGUUUUUAUUUUGAUUAAUUUACUCCACCACCUACACCACCAAACGGUAUAUACAGGUUCUUACAAUUAUCAAGUACUCACCCUGAAUUUCUCUCUCUCUCUCUAUAUAUAUAUAUAUAUAUAUAUAUAUAUAUAUAUAUAUAUAUAUGUCUGUGUGUGUGUGUAUUUAUACAUAUAUAUAAGAGAGGAAAAAUUAUAAUAAGGCAGAAUGCUAAAUUGAGAGUAAAUUUUAAUAAAAAUGGGUGUAUGAAAGAGUAGAAAAGAAAAAUAAAAUCAAACCGGCUUUCAUUGCAAGGCAAAUUUUCAAGAUUUGGAAGGGGAAAAUUUUUUUUUAAAUUGAGGAAGGGGAUAAACUGGCGCAUGUGAGAACGUAGAUGAGGUUCUCGGAGGAACAGGAGAAGUUGGUCUUGAUUUUACACUUUGCUCCUUGUUUGAAAGUACUUUCAAAUAAGUUUUUCCAUGGACUAAUAUUGAACACUAAAAGCUUAAGACAUUAUAAUGUAUUGGUAUACAUAUUUAUUAUUUUUUUUUUGUAUAUAUGUGUUAUUAUUUUUCUGAAAAAAACAUUGUAAAUUUCUUUUUUCCCCUUCCUCAAUUUAAAAAAAUGUUUUCCGCUUCCAAAUCUUCAAAAUUACAUAUAUGUAUAUGUAUAUAUAUGUGUGUAUAAUAAGCUACUGACGAAUUGGUAACGGAGUAAGUGGCAUUAUAUUAACAAAGUACACUGCAGAUAUUCUUACUAAUGUAUAGUAAACGAACCGUCACGUAAACAAAUUCAAAACAUUAGACAUCACCGGUUAAAUAUACUAAAACACGGAGUAAAAGCAACCGUUCUGAUCAUUUUGGCCGCCAUAGGUUUUGCAGUAAAUCACUAAAUCAUCCAUAACUUUUGUAUUGUACUCUCAAAUUACACCAAAACCUCAGGCAAUAACAAAUAAUAUUGUAUUUAUUGUCUGUGAAAAUUAUAAAGAAUAAAACAACUUUGAUAAAAACUUAUACCUACUUUUCUGAUGAAAAGAAUGCCAUUCUGAACAUUUUGGCCGCAACUGUAUAUAUAUUUAUAUCUCUAUAGAGUAAGUGGCAAAUUACAGCUCUGAAUUAAUUGUGGUUUCUGAUUUACAGGUGUUUGAACAGAGUCAAGUGAGAAAUGGAGCCUGUUGAGUGUCGAGCAGUGAUCCGGUUUUUGUAUUUGAAAGGACGCACACCACGGGAGACUUUUGAUGAAAUGGAAGUAACUUAUGGUGAUGAUGCCCCAUCAUAUGACCUUGUAAAACGCUGGCAUCGUGAAUUCAAACAUGGUCGGAACUCUGUGGAAACAGCUCCCAGAUCUGGUCGCCCCUUCUGCCAUUGAUGAGGCAUCUGUCCGUCAAGUUGAGGCUGCCAUUUUGGAAGAUCGACGCAUAAUUAUUCGCCAAAUAGCCCAUGAGGUCAAGAUUAGCACCGGGUCUGUGGAAACUAUCAUUCAUGACCAUUUGCAUAUGCAAAAGGUGUCUGCCAGAUGGAUUCCCAGGUUGCUCACACCUUUCCAGAAGCAAGAACUCGUCGAGUGCUCGAGGGUGAAUUUGGAGACGUACCAAGAAGAUGAGUCAAACUUUUUCAAAAGACUGAUUACACAGGAUGAAACCUGGGUCCAUCACUAUGAUCCAGAGACCAAAUCCCAGUCAAAGCAGUGGAAGCACCGUGACUCACCUCCUCCAAAGAAGGCAAGGGUGCAGCCCUCCGCUGGCAAGGUCGUGCUCACAGUCUUCUGGGACCAGGACGGAGUAGUGAUGACAGAUUUCCUGGCAAAGGGUACCACAUUUACAGGAGCCUAUUAUGCUUCACUUUUGAUGAAAUUAAGAGAAGUUAUCAAAAUCAAGAGGCGAGGCAAGAUCAGCAAAGGCAUCCUCCUCCUGCAGGACAAAGCUCCGGUCUACAACUCGCGUGUCGCCAGAUCAGAAACACAGGCAUGUGGCUAUGAACUCCUCCCCCAUCCCCCUACUCUCCUGACCUUGCACCCUCUGAUUUUCACCUCUUCCCAGCCAUGAAGUUGUUUUUGAAAGGAAAGCGUUUCCCAGAUGAUGCAGCCUUGAUUUCUGAUGUCACGUCGUGGUUGGAGGACCAAGCUGGGGUCUUCUACAAAAACGGUCUCCAGAGCUGCAUCAAGCAAUGGGAGAAAUGCGUAACUCUGGGUGGUUCCUAUGUAGAAAAAGACUAAUAACUGUGCCAAGUUUCGUUGCUCUACUGCUAUGGGAAGUGGGUCAGGGGCAUUACUUAUUGAACGCCCCUCGUAUAUAUAUAUAUAUAUAUAUAUAUAUAUGUAUAUAUAUAUGGAUGUGUAUAUAUACAUGUAUAUAUAUAUAUAUUUCUGGAUCAAAACUAUUAUGCCCUGAGAUUCAGUGUGAAAAAUUACAUUAAUACAUCAAAUUUCCACUCAAUUUUAAAACUUGAUAAAUUUAAGCUAAUAGAAAAAAUCCAUAUGAUCAAUAAAUUUAAUAUUAAUAUUAAUUAUUUUUUUUAUUUCAGAUGGGCAUGCUCCUUCGAAAAAAAUAUCUUAUUAUGGGUAGUAUCACAAUCUUCUUGUUUGUGGGGAUACUUUUGACAGACAAACACUUAAAAGAGCGCCUAUUACACAGACAGAGAAGCCUCGUUAAUCAGUUGCGAGAAACCAAGUUUUUAUUAGUCCUUAUCACAACGUGGAAAUUAUCACCAGAAAAACUUCCAGUUUAUGAAAAUACAGCCCAUUUAUGGGGGAAUUGGCCAUUAUUAUUACAACCUGUAUUAUAUAGAUCAGCGAUACCCACGGAUAAUGUAAGUAGCAGUCGGCUGGAUAAGUAUUUAAGAAAAAAUUGGAAGAUACAGAAUGUUACAAAAGUUGCCUGCGGUCAAAUACCAGUUUUAAAAGCGAUGAUUCUUGAAGUGCUUGCGUCUUUUACUGAUUACGACUUUUAUGGCUAUGCAAAUGCUGAUCUUCUUUUCGAUGAGAGUCUUAUCAAUACGCUGAAAUCUAUUAAGAAAAAGAUACCACAAAAUAAACCUAUACUAAUAGUUGGUCAAAGAACAAAUGUAAACUUUACAAAUCGUAAAUACGUUCUGACUUCUGAUAUUCCUCAGAUAGCUCAAAGCGGACAUUUGAUGAAAGGCAUAGCAAUAGAUUAUUUUAUUACAAAUCAACACUUUCCUUGGCAUCAAGUCUUAGAUUUCGUUGUUGGACGUAUUAAGUAUGAUAAUUGGUUGAUCUAUUUUGCAAAUUCUCAAAAUAUAACAAUUAUCGAUACUACACACACUCUGACUGCUGUUCAUCAAACAACAAGAGACGGUAAUGGUGCAGGAUGGGGGCAUCCUAAUAAAUACUGUAACGAUGCUAUCAUCCGAGCUAAUAAAAAAUCCUUCAGAACGCGUUGGGGUUAUGUAUGGUGUGUCCCUUUUUAUACUAAAAGCAAUCGAGAAACAAAUGAGAUAGAUAUUCUACACAGAACAACCUCUCCAUCAUGCAAACCUUAAAUAUAUCAGUGCACCAGAACAUUAAUCAUUGUAUUUUCAAAUAUUCUUCCCAAAAGAAGAUUACCUGAAGAGGUGUUAAGUUAUAAAAACACCUUACUGUAUCAUAUCAUAUGAUACCGCAAGUUAUUAUAUAUCGAACUAUUCAUUCGUUUCAUCUUUAUCACCAGCAUUAUACCGAUCAACGCACCAAUUACUCCUUGAAUACUCUUGGAUUUGCAAAAUACCGGAUGUCAAAGAAAUAUCCUUUCAACUUAACCAUAUGCGACAUGCUGUUUUUCACACUAGAUUAUUUCCAUCCGCGUAUCUUUCUGUGCUUCUGUGAGUUAGUAUUUUAAGGACCACUGGAAAUGUAAUUUUUGAUUAAAUAUUUUAAUUUUAAUU
rnacentral:lncRNA from 1 species